CCCUUGGAGCGUUAUGUCAAACAAAAGUAGUUGAUUAAUUUGAUUUAAUAACAAAAUUGGACGCGAUGAAUAGGGAA
rnacentral:ncRNA from 1 species